GAGGGAGAAGCAGGCUCCAUGCACCGGGAGCCCGACGUGGGAUUCGAUCCCGGGUCUCCAGGAUCGCGCCCUGGGCCAAAGGCAGGCGCCGAACCGCCGCGCCACCAGGGCUCCCGAAGCUUUGGCUGUCGCCCCAUGUCUCGGGAGGAAGGCCACGAGGCGGUUCGCCGUCUGCCCACGUGGGCUGGGUGCGGGCCCCACGCGCUGGGCGAAGCCUGCGCCGCCCCUUCCCUCGUCCCUGCGGGCUCCCGAGGCUCGGAGCCGCCGGCCUGGCGCGGGGGGUGAAGGCACCGGCCGGGACCGAGGGGCUGGAAGGCGGUCCCGCCAGGGAUCCUGCUCGGCCCUACAAACAGCCUUGCCUACGGUUGUCAAAAACACAUUUCCCGGCCCUGGUGUCUCGAAGCCAAAGCCCGCGGAAUCCAACAACCAGGAAUUCUAAUUCCAACAGGCGUCUUUGGGGCACUUCUGGUGUUUUGAAGACGAAGCGGAGACUCAGGGCCAGGAAGAGGGUACGUGGCAAAUCCGGCAAUGAGGAAGAAGCUUUCCAGACAUUUCCCUACAGAAAUGCAUCACCCCACAGGCAUCUGAACAGAAAGCUUCCAAUUAGCAAAGUAAAAGAGCCACUCCGGGAAAAUUCUGGUGCCCUGGGAAGAUUUAUCCGAAGCUGCCUCUCGACAGUAGAACCAAGUUAAGAAGUUUAUGAUCUGAGUCAACGUUGCGCGUACAAGCUGUCUGUCUGUCGGUCAUACAGACUCCGGGGGUCACCCCUGAGCUUUUGCCUCAGUUUCCCAUGUCUAUAAAGUACAAAAAGACCUCUCCUAGUGAAUCAUUUUGAUGUUUAAGAUCAAACGAGUUAAGAUAUUAAAACAUAUUUAAAGUAUGAAGUGCUUUAAGCAUAUAAGAAAAGUCUUGUUCCCAAACUAUGUUUAGGCAGCUCAAGCAGAGGGUAGAGGGUAGAGGGCACCGGAUGGCAGGUUUCUCCAGUUUCUCCAGAAGGCCAGUAUGGGUUAGGAGGUAGCAUAUGAAGAAAGGGGCUGAGGACCCUGUUUGCAUUUUCAUGCUGCUCUGGUGGGACUGAAGCUGGCGUGUGUGUGGGGAGGGGGGGGGGUGCGGCUCGUCGCUGUACUUGCCCCAUAGCAUCCUGCCUCUUCCAUGCAGACACUCAAGAAAAGCCUGACUUGCUAGAAUGGCAACCUGUUUCCAGACCCAUGUAUCUUCCACUGUCAAGAAAAGAUAGAGAAGUUGACUAGCCUUUGAAAUAAUUCUUUGGGGAAGAAAAUACCUGAUCUUUUUGCCACUUUCCAUCAUUUCAGAAGACAGAUCCCAUCACCUCAUCUGAGACCAGGGCCCUAAAGAGGGAGGCCUGUGUAACAUGCUAAGUCAUGGCUCCCAAGAAGAGUCUCCCACCAAGAGUCAGUUGAAAGAACCCCGUUGGACUCCUGUGACCCAGUUGGAGAGGGGACAGGGAACUUGUAUGUGGGCUUAGGUGUUAGCCAGUCCUGCCCUGUGUCACCACCCUUCCCCCCACAUGCAGCCUGUCAGGAAACCAGCAGAUUAGCUCCAUCCGAUUGAGUUUUAUUUCAUCUGAGCAUCCCAACACUACAGUAUUUGUGAAACUCUGUGGAAUAAAUGACCUGCUAUGCCAGCA
ensembl:lncRNA